rnacentral:rRNA from 1 species
GAUGAACGCUGGCGGCGUGCCUAAUACAUGCAAGUCGAGCGAACAGACGAGGAGCUUGCUCCUCUGACGUUAGCGGCGGACGGGUGAGUAACACGUGGAUAACCUACCUAUAAGACUGGGAUAACUUCGGGAAACCGGAGCUAAUACCGGAUAAUAUAUUGAACCGCAUGGUUCAAUAGUGAAAGACGGUUUUGCUGUCACUUAUAGAUGGAUCCGCGCCGCAUUAGCUAGUUGGUAAGGUAACGGCUUACCAAGGCAACGAUGCGUAGCCGACGUGAGAGAGUGAUCGGCCACACUAGAACUGGGACACGGUCAUGAGUCCUACGGGAGGCAGCAGUAGGGAAUCUUCCGCAAUGGGCGAAAGCCUGACGGAACAACGCCGCGUGAGUGAUGAAGGUCUUCGGAUCGUAAAACUCUGUUAUUAGGGAAGAACAAAUUUGUAAGUAACUAUGCACGUCUUGACGGUACCUAAUCAGAAAGCCACGGCUAACUACGUG